rnacentral:rRNA from 1 species
UACGAAGGGUGCAAACGUUGCUCGGAAUUAUUGGGCGUAAAGCGCACGUAGGCGGCUUUGCAAGUCGGAUGUGAAAUCCCUCGGCUUAACCAAGGAAGUGCAUCCGAAACUGCAGAGCUUGAGUACUUAAGAGGAUCGCGGAAUUCCCGGUGUAGAGGUGAAAUUCGUAGAUAUCGGGAGGAACACCAGUGGCGAAGGCGGCGAUCUGGGAAGAUACUGACGCUGAGGCACGAAAGCGUGGGGAGCAAACAGG